CAUUGCUAAGUCAUCUCAGGAGCCAGUGGCAGGAGAGACGAAGGAAUUGGAAUCAUGGUUACAGGGUACAGCCCUUUGGGCACACCAAAAGAGUGGACAUCUGGGAGAAAAGGCAACUUACAGAUUGUCGUGAGGCUCAGUCUUGGAAUCCUUGGAAUUGUAUUAUUGGUCGUCCCCUCUAGUACAUGGACACCUGGAUUGAAGAUAAAGAAACGAGAGUUGCAUACUGUACGGUGGGGAUGGAACAAUGCCACCAUACCAAGAACCCAAGAUAAUUUCACUUGUCAGGCCAAUCAGCGCUGUACUAAUAUAGUAAAUAUAACAAUUCCAGGAACGAUGUGGGCUGGACCGCCUGAUCCACAAAGAAACAGAUAUCGACCUACAUUUGCCUUACAUCAGUCAGAAGGCAAUAUCACAAUUAAUGCUGCAGUAAAUAUAAGUUGCUGCUCUAAACCUUAUAGGUUCCGAUUUCUCCCUAAAGAAGAGAAGAAUAAAGAAUAUAAGAAUUGUUCUAAACAAGGAGCAACCACAUUUCGGUUAGCUGUAAAAGACGUUUUAAUUUUGGUAUGUCAUAAUGCUACUGAAAUAAAAAAUCGAACGUGGUGGGCACAAGA